GGCCCAUUAGCUCAGUUGGUUAGAGCGUCGUGUUAAUAACGCGAAUGUCCCAGGUUUGAGACCUGGAUGGGCCA